CCUACGGGAGGCCGCAGUGGGGAAUAUUGCACAAUGGGGGAAACCCUGAUGCCGCACCGCCGCGUGAGUGAAGAAGUAUUUCGGUAUGUAAAGCUCUAUCAGCAGGGAAGAAGAUGACGGUACCUGAAUAAGAAGCCCCGGCUAACUACGUGCCAGCAGCCGCGGUAAUACGUAGGGGGCAAGCGUUAUCCGGAUUUACUGGGUGUAAAGGGAGCGCAGACGGCAGUGCAAGUCUGGAGUGAAAGCCCGGGGCGCAACCCCGGAACUGCUCUGGAAACUGUGCGUCUAGAGUACUGGAGGGGCAGGCGGAAGUCCUAGUGUAGCGGUGAAAUGCGUAGAUAUUAGGAGGAACACCAGUGGCGAAGGCGGCCUGCUGGACAGUAACUGACGUUGAGGCUCGAAAGCGUGGGGAGCAAACAGGAUUAGAUACCCGUGUAGUC
rnacentral:rRNA from 1 species